rnacentral:lncRNA from 1 species
GUGUGGCGUGUCUCUGAACCCCCUCGACUGUCCGAGCUUCCAUAAUACCAUCCGGACUUCUCCAACAAUGAGCUUCUCAAUCCAUCUACCGGGCUGCUCCAAAGGCUCUCUGGGCUUCACUAUCGGCUAACCUUCUACAGUGGUCAACUAUUCUUCGAACUUCUUCCAGACUUCGUCAAUAUCCGAGCUUCUCCGACAACAAGAUUUCUACA